UUGUAAAGAACUUUUCUCCAUCUGUUGCUUGUUGUUUUGUCCUAACAACAGUGUCCUUUGCCUUGCAGAAGCUUUGCAAUUUUGUGAGGUCCCAUUUGUUGAUUCUUGAUUUUAGAACAUAAGCCAUUUGUGUUUUGUUCAGGAAAAUUUCCCCAGUGCCCAUGUGUUCAAGGCUCUUCCCAACUUUUUCUUCUAUUAGUUUGUGUGUAUCUGGUUUUAGGUGGAGGUCCUUGAUCCACUUGGACUUGAGCUUUGUACAGGGCAAUAAGAAUGGAUCAAUUUGCAUUCUUCUACACAUUGACCUCCAGUUGAACCAGCACCAUUUGUUGAAAAUGCUAUAUUUUAUCCACUGGAUGGUUUUGGCUCCUUUGUCAAAGAUGAAGUGCCCAUAGGUAUGUGGGUUCAUUUCUGGGUCUUCAAUUCUGUUCCACUGAUCUAUUUGUCUGUCUCUGUACCAACACUAUACAGUUUUUAUGACUAUUGCUCCAUAAUACUGCUAGAAGUCAGGGAUGGUGACUCCCCCAGAAGUCUUUUUAUUGUUGAGGAUAGUUUUCACUAUCCUGGGUUUUUUGUUAUUCCAAAUGAAUCUGCAAAUUGCUCUUUCUAACUCUAUGUAGGAUUGAGUUGGAAUUUUGAUGGGGAUUGCAAUGAAUCUGUAGAAUGCUUUUGGCAAGAUGGCCAUCUUUACUAUACUAAUCCUGCUAAUCCACGAGCAUGGGCAAUCUUUCCAUCUUCCGAGAUCAUCAAUUUCUUUCUUCAGAGACUUGAAGUUCUGGUCAUACAGAUCUUUCACUUGCUUGGUUAGAGUCAUCCUGAGGUUUUUCUAUUAUUUGAGACUAUUGUAAGGGGUGUCAUUUCCCUAAUUUCUUUCUCAGCCCAUUUAUCCUUUGAGUAGAGGAAGGCUACUGAUUGUUUCAGUUGAUUUCAUAUCAUCCACCUUGCUGAACUUUUUUGUCAGAAUUAGCAGUUCUCUAGCGGAACUUUUGGGGUCACUUUAGUAUACUAUCAUACCAUCUGCAAAUAGUGAUAUUUUGACUUCUUUCGAAUAUGUAUCCUGUUGACCUCCUUUCGUUGUCUGAUUGCUCUGACUAGAACUUUGAGUACUAUAUUGAAAAAGUAGGGAGCUAGGGAGCAGCCUUGUCUAGUCCCUGAUUUUAGUGAGAUUGCUUCAAGUUUUCUCUCCAUUAGUAUGAUGUUGGCUACUGGUUUGCUGUAUAUUGUUUUUACUAUAUUUAGGUAUGGGCCUUGAAUUCCUGAUCUUUCCAAGGCUUUUAACAUGAAGCAUUGUUGAAUUUUGACAAAUGCUUCGUCAGCAUAUAAUGAGAUGAUCCUGUGGUUCUUAUCUUUGAGUUUAUUUAUAUAGUGUAUUACAUUGAUGGAUUUCUACAUAGUGAUUGAUCCCUGCAUCACUGGAUGAAGCCUACUUGAUCACAAUGGAUAAUCCUUUUGAUGUGUUCUUGGAUUCAGUUUGCAAGAAUUUUAUUGAGUAUUUUUGCAUCUUAUUCAUAAGGGAAAUUGGUCUGAAGUUCUCUUUCUUUGUUGGGUCUUUGUGUGGUUUAUGUAUAAGCACAAUUGUGGCUUCAUAGAAGGAAUUGUGUAGUGUUCCUUCUGUUUCUAUUUUGUGAACUAGCUUGGACAGUAUUGGUAUUAGGGCACUUUUUUGAUGGGAGACUUAAUGACUGCUUCUAUUUCUUUAGGGGUCAUGGGGUUGUAUAGAUGGUUUACCUGAUCCUGAUUUAACUUUGGCACCUGGUCUGUCUAGAAAAUUGUCCAUUUCCUCCAGAUUUUCCAGUUUUGUUGAAUAUAGGCUUUUGAAAUAUGAUCUGAUAAUUUUUUAAUUUCCUCAGAUUCUGUCAUUAUGUCUCCCUUUUCAUUUCCGAUUUUGUUAAUUUGGAUAUUUUCUCUGUGCCCUCUGGUUACUCUGGCUAAGGGUUUAUCUAUCUUGUUGAUUUUCUCAAAGAAACAGCUCCUGGUUUUGUUGAUUCUUUGUAUAGUACUUUUUGUUUUUACUUGGUUGAUUUCAGCUCUGAGUUUGAUUAUUUCCUGCCUUCUACUCCUCUUGGGUGUAUUUGCUUCUUUUUGUUCUAGAGCUUUUAGGUGUGCUGUCAAGCUGAUGACAUAUGCUCUCUCCUGUUUCUUUUGUGAGGCACUCAGAGCUCUGAGUUUUCCUCUUAGCACAGCUUUCAUUGUGUCUCAUAAGUUUGUAUGUCGUGCCUUCAUUUUCAUUAAAUUCUAAAAAGUCUUUAAUUUCUUUCUUCAUUUCUUCCUUGACCAGGUUAUCAUUGAGUAGAGCAUUGUUCAACUUCCAUAUGUAUGUGGGCUUUUUGUCAUUUUUUGUUGUUCUUGAAGACUGGUCUUAAUCCAUGAUGAUCUUCUAGAAUGCAUGGGCUUAUUUCAAUCUUUUUGUAUCUUUUGAGGUCUGUUUUGUGACUGAUUUUGUGGUCAAUUUUGAAGAAGGUGCCAUGAGGUGCUGAGAAGUCAUAUUCUUUUGUUUUAGGAUGGAAUAUUCUAUAGAUAGCUAUUAAAUCCAUUUGGUUCAUAACUUCUGUUAGUUUCUCUGUGUCUUUGUUUAGUUUCUGUUUCCAUGAUCUAUCCAUUGAUGAGAGUGGGGUUUUGAAGUUUCUCACUAUUUAUGUGUGAUGUGCAAUAUGUGCUUGGAGCUUUAAUAAGGUUUUUAUGAAAGUAGGUGUCCAUGCAUUUGGAGCAUAGAUAUUCAGAAUUGAGAGUUCAUCUUGGUGGAUUUUUCCUUUGAUGAAUAUGAAGUGUCCUUCCAUAUCUUUUUUGAUAACAUUUGGUUGAAAGUCGAUUUUAUUAGAUGCUAGAAUGACUGCUCCAGAUUGUUUCUUGGGACCAUUUGCUUGGAAAAUUGUUUCCAGCAUUUUACUCUGGGGUAAAAGCUUUCUUUGUCACUGAGGUGUGUUUCCUGUAUGCAGCAAAAUAUUGGGUCCUCUUUACAUAUCCAGUAUGUUAGUUUGUCUUUUUAUUGUGGAACUGCAUCCAAUGUUGUUAAGAGAUAUUAAGGAAUUGUGAUUGUUGUUUCCUGUUAUUUUCAUUGUUAGAGGUGGAAUUAUGAUUGUCUUUCUUUUGGUUUCAUUACAAGGAAAGUAUAUUCUUGCUUUCUGUAUGGUGUAGUUUCUCUCCUCGUGUUGGAGUUUUCCAUCUAUUAUCCUUUAUAGGGCUGGAUUUGUAGAAAGAUAUUGCCUAAAUUUGGUUUUGUCAUGGAAUAUCUUGGUUUCUCUAUGUUAAUUGAGAGUUUUGCUGGAUACAGUAACCUGGGCUGGCGUUUGUGUUCUCUUAGGGUCUGUAUGACAUCUGUCCAGGACCUUCUGGCUUUCAUAGUCUCUGGUGAGAAGUCUAGUGUAAUUCUUUUUUUUUUUUUUUUUGGAACUGGGAACCAAACCCAGGGCUUUGCACUUCCUAGGCAAGCGCUCUACCACUGAGCUAAAUCCCCAACCCCCUGUCUAGUGUAAUUCUUAUAGGUCUGCCUUUAUAUGUCACUUGACCUUUUGCCCUACUGCUUUUAAUAUUCUUUCUUUGUUUUGUGCAUUUGGUGUUUUACCUAUUAUGGAAUUUCUCUUCUGGUCCAAUCUAUUUGGAGUUCUGUAGGCUUCUUGUAUGUUUAUGGGCAUCUCUUUCUUUAGGUUAGGGAAGAUUUCUUCUAUAAUUAUGUUUAAGAUAUUUACUGGCCCUUUAAGUUGUGAAUCUUUGCUCUCUUCUAUACCCAUUAUCCUUACGUUUGAUCUUCUCAUUGUGUCCUGGACUUCUUGGAUGUUUUUGGGUUAGGAUCUAUUUGUGUUUAACAUUAUCUUUGACAGUCGUGUCAAUGUUUUCUAUUGUAUCUUCUGCCCCUGAGACUCUCUCUUUUAUCUCUUGUUAUUUCUUGGUAAUGCUUGCGUCCAUGACUCCUGAUCUCUUUCCUAGGUUUUCUAUUUCCAGUGUUGUCUCCCUUUGUGAUUUUUUUUAUUGUUUCCAUUUUUAUUUUUAGAUCCUGGAUGGUUUUGUUCAAUUUGUUCACCUUUUGACUGUGUUUCCUGUAACUCUUUAAGGGAUUUUUGUGUUUCCUCUUUAAGGGUGUUACUUGUUUACCUGUGUUGUCCAGCAUUUUUUAAGGGAGUUAUUUAUGUCCUUCUUAAAGUCCUCUAACAUCAUCAUCAUCAUCAUCAUCAUCAUCAUCAUCAUCAUCAUGAGAUGUGAUUUUCAAUCCUAAUCUUGGUUUUCCAGUGUGUUGAAAUAUCCAGUAUUUGCUUUGGUGGGCGAAUUGGGCUCUGAUGAUGCCAAGUAGUCUUGGUUUCUGUUGCUUCGGUUCCUGUGCUUACCUGUCACCAUCUGGUUGUCUCUGGUGUUAGCUGGUCUUGCUGUCUCUGACAGUGGAUUGACUCUCUUAUAAGCCUCUGUGUCAGCACUUCUGUAGACCUGUUUUCUUUUAGCCAGAUCUGGGAACAGAGAGCUGCUCCUGGGUUUGUGUGACCUGAAGCCUUCAGGCAGGUGGUUUGGCACAGAAGAGUUGGUCUUACCUCUGCUUUCACAUGUGUAGGUGCUCCUGGUGACUGGCUUUCAGCUCUCAGCACAGGCAGAAACCCUAAGUGUCCUGCCCCUGACUGCUCCUCGGUUCCUGUGCUCAGAGGGCAGAGAUGGCACUAGGCAGUUUCCUCUUGGGUCAGGAAUGUGGACAGAAAGUAGUUGCCUCCUCUGAGUUCUCAGGUUUGUCUGCACUUCUGAGAGUCCAGUUCUCUCCCCCAUGGGGAUUUGGGUACAUGGAGCUGUGGAACUGGUUCAGUUCAGUUAUGGGCUUGGGCAGAAACCAGCAGGUUCCGGCUUCUGACUGCUCCUAUAUUCAUGUAUCCAGAGGCACUAUGUAGUUUCUUCUUGGGCCAGGAAUGUGAGGAGAAGUGGGCAGAGGUGGCACUCUCCCCUGAGGUCUCAGGAUUGUCCUCACUUCUGUGAGUUCACCUCUCUCCUCAUGGGAUCUGGGUGCAGGAAGCUGUGGGAUCCAUUCAGUUCAGAUCUCAGCACAGCCAGAAACGGGAAGUGUCCUGUCCCAGAGGACUUCUGCCUUUGUGUGUUCUGAGGCCACCAGAAAGGUCACUUGGAGCAGAAAAGUUGGUCUUACCUCUGCUGUCAAGUGUGUAUGUGCUCAUGGCGACUGGCUUCAGCUCUCAGUGCCAAAAAAAAAACAAAAAAAAAACAAAAACAAAAACAAAACAAAAAAAACCAAAAUAAAAAACAAAAAAACUAUUUUAAGUAAAUCUAGUUGUCUGUCUUUCACAUUUUCUAUUCAUAUAUUUAUAUAUAGAUAGAGUCUCACUGUUUAGCCCUGACUAACUUUCUAUAUACUCCUCAAAUGGUGAUAAAAAAAACUUGGCAUUUAAUGUAGAAGAGUGAAACUAGAUCUUCAUCUCUGCCUGCAUAAAAAUCAACUCCAAAAGGAUAGAAGACCUUAACGUAAGACCUGACAUUCUGAAAUUGCUAUUGGGAAAGUAGGAGAAACUCACCAAGGUUAGAACUUUGUGAACUGAACUGAUGUGUCCAGGAAAUAUGGCCAACCAUUGAUAAUUGAGUUGUCAUAAAUGUCAACAUAUGAACUAGUGUGGACAUUAUUAAAAGACAAAAGAUAACCUGAGUGUAAAUUGACAACCCUUGCAUACUGCUGGCAGAGCAAAAAUUGAUAUAACAAUCAUAAAACACAGUGUGGAGAUUCCUCAAAAGGUGAAACCAUGUUUUCCUGUGAUCCAGGCAUCCCAAAAUUGAGUAUGUACCAAGAAAAGGAUCUCAGAAUGUCAGAGACUUCUGCACUGGGCCAUGUGUCAGACACAUAUGAGAGCCAAGCUAUGGAGACAACCAGAGUCCAGAGAGUGAAGAACUGAUACAGCACAGCAUAAGAUCCCUCACAACACCAAAAAUGGACCUGCCAGAUGGCCCCAGCUGGCUGCACCCCCACAAGUAGGCACAUUAACUGGUUUCUUUGUUUCUUCCCACAGUGAUUUGGUUGCAAGAGGCCAGGACUCCUGCCAUCUUGGAAGCCUCUCCAUUACCUGUUCACACGACACACGGAGCAUCCUUUGUGCCCUGAAGAAAACUCUGACCCCUCAACAGAAUAUGAAUGGCAGGGCAGAAAUACAAGUUGAGGCUACAUAAGUCAGUGCUUUGGGAACAGUUGUCAAGGCCCUGGUGAAACUCUCCACACCCAAUGACAAGUUCCUGUGUGUCACACUCUUGGUAACACUUCUGCCUAUGAAAUUAAACUCAGCUCUCUGAGGACUCAGUGGCUGAUCUUCUCUCAAACAUAGACUGCCUAAGAUAAGAAAUCAUUCAGCUUUCAAUAUCUCAAAAUUUUGACAGGAUAUCUCCAUAUUUCACUGCUGUUCUUAUCCAGGAUCAAGCUUGGAACCAGCUCCCGCUCUGACUUCAGCUGUCAAACACUGCAGACUUCACCUUGACUCUACUCAACGCACAGCGUGUGCCUCACCUUUCAUGCAGUCAGACACCCCGAGACAAAGUGUGCAGCGUGGCAUGGCAAACGUCUCCUACGAAGUAGAAGAGGAGGUGGAAAGUGUUUCAAAUGAGCAUGGACAUGAGGGAAAACUGACUUGGAGGGACAUCUACAGGCACAUGAAUUAUGAAAUGACUUUGUUUAGCAUGGAGAUUCCCUCCAUUUGAAGCAAAUUUCACCAGCAUCAACUGUCUAUAGGUACAUCUGGAGGGGGGUUUGUAUAGGUGUUUGUGUUUCGCUGUCUGUCCAGAUAUACAGUACAGAAGAGUGCAUUCUGAUGACUCAGAUUGCAGAGCACCAGGGAGGCUCACCAAUAAUGACUCACAAAUGGGGUGAGAUGUGAAGGUUUCUGGAUCUAGGUGGGUAAGGAGCAAGCUGUCUAGCAAGUUAGCAUGGUCUUGAGAGCUGCAUCAUGAGCAAGGAACUCACCUGUUCCUGUGCCCUCUACCUUCCCUUAUGAGCACUAGAUGGACACUUCCUGCCUCACCAUUGCUCUGUUUCUGCGUCCAAUCUGGUCAGCAAUAGCCAUCUUGGACACAAACACAAAGAGAUCCGGCACUAUGGGAUCCACAUAUGCUUCCACUGGCCACUUUCUCUACUAAUGACUCUCAUGUACAUCUGGAGACAGACAGCAGACAAUCUCACCAUGAAUGGAAGGUCCUCUGAGGCCUGUGUUCCUGAUGAUGACCUACCUGCCAUGGUACCGGGUUUACAGGAUUUCUAAGUUCCAUGAAGUAUCGCACUUAGGAAGUGCAAUUUUGGUACCACAAGGCAUCACGAAGGACUUAAAUGGAAGUGUAAGAACAACCAUGAGCUAAGAACUUCCUCCCAGAAUCUUUGUUCAGUCCUCAGGUCCCAAAGGAUCUGAGAAGGGUAUGCACCCAUAGAUCCACUGCUCAUGUGCAGAUACAGAAAUAGUUCGCCCUUAGUUAAAGCCUAUGAUGUAGUCAUGGCUGCCCUCUGGCACAUAACCCUAGGAAAUUCCUACCUGAUUCUCUCCUACACCUGUCCUCAUUCUCAGCAAGCUGCUAUCUACUCUCUGGUUUCAUUUUCCAGAAAGUAAAAUGCUUCCAAGUACACUUCAAAUAGAAAGGGGCCACGUAGUAGAAUCUUGCAGGCCCUGUGAUGGCACACGCUCUCAGGCUGAUUCCUCUUGAGUUCUCCAUGGAUCCCUUCACCCACCCUUCUCCAGCAUCCUUGCCCAGCCUCACUAGACAUUUCUCUGCUCCCCACAUGAAGCCUAGUUACUCAGGAAAAAAUUACUGUGGGGUUGGAUUUCUGGUGAGAUAAUAUAUUAUCACCAAGCCCUAAAAUGUGGACUUUCAUAAUAUCUUUCAUUUAAUCCAGGAAAUAGUUAUGAGAGUUAAUUUGCUGCUUACCUAGGAACCUUAAUCCACUCCCCAGGACAGACAUGGUGUAAAGAAAGAACUGAAUUCUGCAAGUUAAUCUUUAUGCAGAUAACAUCAAUAAAUCCUUUUCCUUAAAGUAACAGAUAUCUUUCUAAAAAGAUAGAUGUAAAAGUACAUUAUAGCCUGUUCCAGUUGCCUCUCACCUUGGAUACCACCACCUGCCUUUUAACUCACAGCCUGGAUUUUGUUGCUGUCUAUUCAUCCUCUCAGAUUGGCAAGCAGCAACAUAAGGUUUACUGGUCUUUUAUAACCCAAUUCUUCAGGGUAUUCCAUAGCUACCUUUUAGAGGGGGCCCUGGGUGCAGUCUGAUAUCUGCCACAAAGCUGUCCCCUAGGUGUAUUUGGGAAAGAAAGGCUUGACUCUGUUCCUUGUAUAGUGGGAUCCUCAGCCUGGGACUCUUUGCUGGAAAUGGAGGAAAUCUAUCCUGUGAGGUCAUGUUGUCCUUUGAGCCAGUGGUAAUCACAUUGUGGAACUGUCCCAUGGGUUCCUGAUGAGGUGAUGUUUGUGGAAAUGUGUGUUUACUUUUCACUGGGUACUUGGUGCCCUCACUGGUCUUACUCCAAGAGGCAUGAGGAGAUAAAGGAUCCUGUGAGGACACUUUGCUGUUUGAAUUGUUAGAGCCAGCUUUGGACACAUCCAUGGAUGGAUGGCUGGAGGGAGUUUCCGGUGAUGAAUCCUCUGAAGACUCUCAGCUCUCACCUGAGGCUCUCUGCUCUCUGCCUCUCUCCCCUAACCCACGUGUGCUGAUCAUGCAUUGAACCUAGUGGACAAACUGAUGGCAGUUUCUGUAAAUUGGAUGUCUCUUCUUGUUUAAGCAUGUUAGGGUGUGUGGCAUAUUGUACCUCAUUCUACUCUCAUCUCCAUUCUCAGUGUUUUCAGGCUGAUUGGAGAUCAUGGAGGAGGGAAGGCUUGGCAGGCUAGAUACCCUCCUCAUAGCCUUUUUUUGUUUCAUGGGUGGAAUCGAAUGUUUCAAGUUUUGAUCCCACUGCUGGCUUUUUUAUUGAGUUGUCUUCCCAGGGUGACUGUUGCCUCAGCAUCAAGUAGGUUGCCGUGACAUGGCCAUACUUUUUCUCCUGUAACCAUUCCUUUAUUGCUUUAAAUCCCUGUGGGCACUAUGUUUACAGUGACAAUACUGUAGGGCAGAUGCCAUUUGCUUAAAUAGCCUAUGGGAUUCUUGCUCAGGUAGAUAGCCAGACUCCAAAAUUAUGCCCAGUAACUCUCCUUCCACUUUGUGUUCCAGAUGCAUAUAAAUGUUUUUCACGAUAAUUUGCAAAACUUUAAUAAUAUGAGGGUAGAAUAGGAAUUUUAUCAUUUCAGAUUCUGAUUUGAUGAGUGUGUUCUUCUUUUUGUUAGGCUGUUAACUGCUUCCAUAGUCUGCAUGAGGAGGUGGUUAUUCAAUUUUCCUUCCCAGAUGCUCCUUGACCAAGGGUAUUUAAGACUUUAUACUGUUCAUAUAAAGCCUCUUCAUCAAAGUUUUUGGACCUUAGGUCUGACACAGGCCUAUUAUGACCCCAUUAUUCAGGGUCUUCUAUGCCCACUUUUAAGGGUGUCCUUCCUAAAGUCUUAUAGCAAUUGUGAAGGUGUCUCUUGGGCAUAUGUGGGAGGACAGGCUCCAUGCCGUUUCUUGUACAGUGGGAUCCUGACCCAUGGCUUCCUUGCUGCAGAAUGCAGGUGAUCUGUACUAAGAGUCAUGUUGUUCCUUGAACCAGAGUGAGUCAUGUCAGGAAGCAGUGUGGGAAGAUCCCUGAGGUGAAGUUUGUGGAAGAGUGAGUUGAUUUUUCCACUGGAUAAGUUGGUGCACUUACACUGGGCUUCCUGGUCAGAGGCAAUUAAGAGGUUGUACAUUUUACUCUUUGAAUUAUUAUAGCCAGUUUGGACACAUCCACGGAUGACUGGCUGGAAUAGAUUUCCAAGGAUGAAAUCUCCUGAAGGUUCUCUGGUACAGCCUUCAUCUGAGGUAUCACUGCUCUCUGUCUCCCCUCAGAUGCUGCUCAUGAAGAGAGCCUUGUGGACAAGGCAGGGACAGAUUCUGGGAAGGGGAGUUCUCUACUUGCUCAAGCAUUUCAGGGUGGGUGGCAUACUGUACCUCAUUCAGCUCUUUUUCCAUUUUAAGGAAUUCCAGUUGGGUUGACCAAAGGCAGGUGGGAAGGCAGGCACACUAGAUCCCCUCCUUAUAGCCAUUUGCUAUUUCUGGUUGGCCCUAUAUGGUUCAAGACUCAAUCCCACCGCUUGGGUUUAGGUUUUUAUUGAGUUUUCUUCCCAGGGUUAUUGUUGCCCCAGCAUCAGCUUUGGCGCCAUCACAUGGUCGAACUUUUUCUCCAGUAAAACUUCUGUCAUCUCCCAUUGCUCAUAUGCCAUGACACCCGUGUUGACCAUUACAGUGUGGUCUGGCAGGCUGUCCGUAUUCUCCUUAGAGGAAAUGAGGCAAAUGUAAUAGUCGUGAUUGAGCCACUCACAGCUCACAAUAUCAUGUACUGUUGGCCUUUGUCCAGUGUUUAUAGUUAACUUGUUAGCAGUCAUGUCACCAAGUUCUGGUGACAGUUUGAAUUUUACAGUGUACUUUCCUCACAAUGUCUUCUGCUUUAGUUCUCCGUGAUUACUUUUCUGGAAAGGGAAGCAUCCUGUGGACAUAAAGUAAAGCAGAACUCGAGAGCUCCAGACAUUGAUUGCAUGGCCAUGAUAACUUUUACCUUCAAAGUGUUCUUUGGGACAAAAUCGGGGAGUCUGUUUGAGAGUUGUUAGCUCAUGGACCAUGAUAGUCUUUUUUGUCUAAUCUGAACCACUAAGUUGUAUAUUUCCUUUGCCUUUCACUGUAAUAUUUCCUGGCUUUCUCUCCCUGAGGGCAAUACACUUCUGAUAACACUAUUAGAGGGAACAUACCAUUUGUUUAAAUAGCCUGUGGGAUUCCUCAUCAAGUAGGUUGCCAGUUUCCACAAUUCUGCCCAACAACUGCCCACACUUCCUGUUCCAGGAUCAGAUAAACGUUUUUAUGUAGUGUGCAAAUGAUUAAUAAUGUGAGGAUGGUAUACAGUUUUUCUAAUUGCAAUUACUGAUUUGGUCAAAGUUCUUUCUGUCUUAUACCAAAGUCUAGGUGAGGAAAUGGCUUCUCAGUUUUACUUCCAUAAAUGCUCCUUGUCCAAGGGUCUUUAGUAUUUUAUAAUGUUCAGAUAAAGCCUCUUCAUCAAAGGGGUUGAGCAUUAGGACCUGAGGCAGGCCCUUUUAACCCCAGUUUUCAUGGGCUUCAGACUCUUUCUUUUAAAGGGGACUCUGGGUACAGGAGGAUAGUGGCCAAAAAGGUGUCACUGGAGCGUGUUUAGGGAGGACGGGCUUGAGUGUCUUUCUUGCACAGGAGGACCCUCACCAUGGGCCUACUUCCUGUAGAAUGAAGGUGUUCUAUCCUGUGAGGUCAUGUUGUCCUUUGAAGCAGUGGUCUUCAUGACACUGAGCUAUGCUGUGAGGUCCUACUGAGGUGAGGACUGUGGACGACAUGUUAUUCUUUUCAAGGGGUGUUGGUGGAGUGACAUGGGAUUACUCCACAGAGGCAUGAUGAGGUAAAACACCCUGUAAGGACACUGGCUCUUUGGAUUGGUUGUGCCAGCUUUGGACACAUCCAGGAUGGCUGGCUGGGGUAGAUUUCCAGUGAUGAAUCCUCUGAAGACUCUCUGGUACAGCUUUCAUUGAGGCUUACUGCCCCCGUCUUCCCUUUGGGGCUGCUCGUGACAUGAGCCCUCUAGACAAGCUGGGGGCAGAUCCUGUGAAUGGGAACUCUCUUCUUUUCCAAGCCAUCGGGGAGGCUGGCAUAAUGUACCUCAUUCUACUCUUUUUCCCUUCUAAGUAUUUUCAGGUUGAUUUGGCCAAAUGAAGGUGGAAAGGGCAGGCGACCUAGAUCCCUGCCUUAGCCACUUGUUGGUUCAUGGUUAGCCCUGGAUGUUUCAAGCUAUUAACACCCUGCCUGGGCCUUAGGUAUUUUUAUUGAGUUGUCUUCCCCGGGUUAUUGUUACCUUGGCAUCAAAUAUGUUGCCAUGACAAGGCCAAUAUUUUUCUCCUGUAAGCACUACUUUGUAUGUUGUUGCUUAUAUCCCAUGAUGACCAUUACAGUCGGGUGUGGGUUGCUGUCUUUUUUCUCUCUAAAAAUACUGGGAGAACCUCCUUUUUCAUGCUUUAGUCUUUGAAAACGUAAAAAUGCAAUGAAGUGUUGACGUUUGUCCAGAGUUCACACUUAACAAGUUAGCAGUCACAUCACAAAGUUCUGUUGAAGUCCUGCCAAGGCACUCUGCUUUAGGUCGCCACAGUUAUCUUUCUGGAAAGGCCAGCAUCCUCUAGACAUAAAGCAGAGCACAUCCCUGGCCUCCACACAUCAACCACCAUAGUCUGCAUGAGGACAUUAUACCCUUUACCUUCAGAGAGGUCUGGGCCAGGUCAGAAGCGUCCCAGCAAAAGCUGCAAGCUUCUAGCCCGUGAUAACCUUCUUGCACAAUUUGUAAUCGAUAAGGUUUAUAUUUCAUUUGCCUUCCACUACCAUAUUUCUGGGCUUUAUAUCCCUGUGGGCAAAUGUUUAUAGUGAAAAUACUGGAGGGCACAUACACUUGCUUAAAUAGCCUAUGGGGUUCUUUGUCAGGUACGUAGCCAAACUCCAAAAUUCUGCCCAACUACUCUCCUUCCACUUUGUGUUCCAAAGCCAUAUAAAGGUUUUUUGCUGAUAAUGUGCAAAAGAUUAAUGAUAUGAAUGUGGUGUCGAGUUUAUGAAGGUGUUCUUUCUCCCUUUUGUAGAAUUGUAACUGCCACUAUAGUCUGCAUGAGGACAUGGCUAGCCAAUUUGACUUCCCUAAAUGCUCCUUGGCCAAGAAUCUUUAAUAUUUUUUAAUGUUUAGAUAGAGCCUCUCCAUGAAAGUGAUUGGACUUUAAGACCUGACACAGGCCUUUUAUAACCCUAUUCUUCAGGGGCUUCUAGACCCAUAGUUUAAAGGGGGACCCGAUUACAUUGUGUCACUAGUCAGAAAGGUGUCACUGGGGCAUAUAUGAGGAAGACAGGCUUGACUCUUUCUUUUCUGGGGAAGCCUCACUCCUUUUUUGAAAAUAGAGGUGAUCUAGCCUGUGAGUCUAUGUUGUUGAACUUUUAACUGGAUAUGUUGUUGCCCUUACACUGGGCUUCCCCACAGAGGAAUGGUGGAGUGAAACACUCAGGGAGGACACCUUGCUUUUCGCAUUCUUAGAGCCAGCUCUGGACACAUGCAUGGAUGAUUGCCCGGGUAGAAUCACAGUGAUGAAGCUCUGAAGCCUCUCCAGUAGAGCUUUCCUAAGAAGUGUCACUGCUCUCUGUCUCCCCUGACCUCCAAUGUGCUGCUCAUGAUGUCAGCCUUCUGGACAAGCUGAGGGCAGCUUUUCCCAAUGGGAGUUCUCUUCUUUUUCAAGCAGUUCAGGGUGGGUGGUGUACUCUACCUCAUUGUACUAUUUCUUCCUUCUCCAGACUUUCAGUUCGAUUGGGCCAGCUGAAGGUGGGAAGGGAAGACACAUUAGAUCCCGUCCUUAUAGCCUUUUAGAGUUUCAUGCUUGUCCCUGUAUGUUUCAAGGAUUGAUCCCGCUGCCUGGGCUUAGGCUUUUUAUUGAGUUGUCUUCCCAGGAUGACUGUUGCCUCAGCAUUAAAUAAGUUGCCAUGGCUUGAUUAUAUUUCCCCUGUAAACUUCCAUUUAUCUCUCCUUGCUUGUAUCUCAUGAGACCCAUGAUGACCAUUACAGUGUGGUUUGGGUGACUGUCUGUAUUCUUUCUUUUUUUUUCUUUUCUUUUUUUUUCUUUUUUCAGAGCUGGGGACCGAACCCAGGGCCUUGUGCUUGCUAGGCAAGCGCUCUACCACUGAGCUAAAUCCCCAACCCCCGUCUGUAUUCUUUCUAAAGGAACUGCUUCAACCUUAAUUGUCAUGCUUUAGCCAUUCAAAUUUCACAAUAUCAUGGCCUCUGUUCAGGGUGUACAAUUUCACAAAGUGACAAUCAUUUCACAUUUCUGGGGACAGCUUGAAUUUUACAUAAGUACUGUCCGCCAAUGUCUUUAUACUUACUUCCCUGGAAAAGAAGGCAUCCUGUUCACAUAAAAUGGAGCACAACCCUAAGCUCCACAUAUCAAUAGCAUGGCCAUCAUACCCUGUACCUUCAAGGAGUUCUGCAGCACGAUACAGAAGGCUCCCACUGAAUGUUGGCAACUUCUGACCACAAAUAAUAUUUUUGCUUAAUCUGUAAAAAGACUAAGGAUUAUUUCUUCAGCGUCCUCUAAAAUAUUUCUGGACUUUAGACCCCUAUGGACAAUACAUUUCUGUUGAUAAUAUCAGAGGAUGCUUACCAUUUACUUAAAUAGCCUAUGGGAUUCUUCUUCUGUUAAGUAGCCAAACUCUACAAUUCUACCUACCAACUCUACUCCCAUAUCAUUUUCCAGAAAAAUAUAAAUGUUUUUGUUAGUAAUAUGCAAAAGAUUAAUAACAUAAGGAUGUUAUAGAAUUUUAUUAAAUUUCUUAUUUAAUGAUGGUGUUCUGCCUUGUGAUAGAAUUUUAACUGGUACCAUAAUCUGCAGGAAAACAUGACAUGUUAAUUCCCUGAAUUCUCCUUGGCCUAAGGUCUUUAAGAUUUAUUAAUGUUCAGGUAAAGCCGCUUCUUCAAAGUGGUUUGGACCUUAGUUACUGACACAAGCCUUUUAUAGGAAAGCCAUUUCUCAGGUCUUUGAGAUCCACCUUUUAAAGGGAUCCUGGGGUACAGUCUGUGACCAACCACAAAGAUGUCCCUGGGGUGUGUGUGUGUGUGUGUGUAUAUAUAUAUAUAUAUAUAUAUAUAUAUAUAUAUAUAUAUGUAUAUAUAUAUAUAUAUAUAUAUAUAUAUAUGGAAGACAGGUUUGACACUCUUUUACAGGGGGAAACAUCACCUUAGGCCUCCUUGCUGGAGAAUGGAGAUGAUGUAAGCUAUGAGGUCGUAUUGUCCUUUGAACCAGUCAUACUCAUGUCAGGAUGACGCAUGAGGUCAUCCUGAGGUGAGGUUUGUGGAAGAGACCAGUGAUCUUUUCACUGGGUAUGCUGGUCUCCUUAUACUGAGCUUCCUCCACAGAGGCAUGAUGACAUAAACACCUCAUGAAGACACUGACUCUUUCAAUUGGUAGAGCCAGCUCUCAACACAUCCAUGGAUGACUGGCUAGAGUAGAUUUCCAAUGAUGAAUCCUCUGAAGACAUUCUGAUAGAGCUUUCAUUUGAGAUGUAACUGCCCCACCAUGUGCUACUAAUGAAGUGAGACUUGUGGAUAAACUGGGAGCACAUUCUGUGAAUGAGAAUAGUCUUCUUGUUCAAGUAGUUCAGAGUUGGUAGCAUAGGAUACCUCAUUGUACUAUUUCUUUCCUUCUUGGGAAUUUCAAGUAAACUAGGAAAACUUAAGGUGGAUGGGUAGGAACAGUAGAGCCCUUCAUGAUAGCUGUUUGUUGUAUCAUGGUUGGCCUUGUGUGUUUCAAUGUUUGGUCCUACUACCUGGACCUAGAUUUUUUUUUUAUUGCGUUUCCCUGUGUUGACUCUUGCCUCAGCAUCAAAUCUAUAGCCAUCACAUGGUCAACCUUUUUCUCCUAUAAACUUUACUUUAUCUCUCAUUGUUUCUAUACCAUGAUACACACUAUGUCCAUUAUAGUGGGGUUUGGGUGGCAGUCAGUGUUCUCUUUAAAGGAACUGCAAGAACCUUCAUUGUCAUGUGUUAGCCAUUCCAAACUCACAAUGUCAUGCAGUGUUGGCCUUUGUGCAGAGUUUACAAGUUAGCAAUCAUGUCACAAUUUUGAGGUGACAGCUUGAUUUUUACAGAAGUACUUUCGUGCCAAGGUUGUCUGCUAUAGUGUUUUAUUGUUAUGUCCCUGGAAAGGGAGGCAUCCUGUUCACAUAUGGCAAAGCAAAACCCCCAGAGUCUAGUGAUCAAUGGAGUGGCCAUCAUACCCUUUACCUUCGAAGAGUUCUGGGCACAGGAAGGGAGUUUCCCACAGUUUUUUUUUGUUUGUUUGUUUUUGUUUUUUUGCUAGUUUGGCCAGUGGUAGUCUUUUUGUCUGAUCUGAAAUCACUAAGUUUUAUAUUUCUUUUGCCUUCCACUAAAGUAUUUCUGUGCUUUAAUUCUCUGAGGGCCAUAUAUUUUGGUGACAAUAAUGUAGCUACAUAGCAUUUUUUUAAGUAGCCUAAGGAAUUCUUGCUCAGGUAGGUUUCCAAUCUCCCCAAUUCUGUGCAACAACUCUCAUUCCACCUCAUGUUCCGCAAUCAUAUAAAUGAUUUUUGUCUAUAGUGUACAAAAGUUUAGGAAUAUGAGGGUGAUGCAAAGGUUUUAUAAUUUCAAUUUCUGAUUUGAUGAGGGUGUUCUUUCUCCCUUUUGAUAGAAUUUUAACUGCUACCAUAGUCUGCAUGAGGAGAUGGCUAGUCAGUUUUACUAUGAUGAGUGCUUCUUGGCCAAGGAACUUUAAGACUCUUUAAUGAGCCCUUAAAUUGUCUUCACCUAAAGGGUUGGACCUUAGGACCAGACUCCCUUGCCAUCUCUUCAUACUUGUUAGGAAUCUUCAGUAUCAACACCAACUUGUGAUGCAAGAUAAAAGUGAAUUAAAAGAGGGUCUAAGAGAAAUAGCUAUAACUAUAAAUGUCUGCAGUUAAAGAAAAGGUCCCCCAAGUUAUCUACUGAUGCAUUUAAACUUCAUGGAAAGCAUGGUCAGAACAGAACAUUCACGCCACAAGCAGUUAAGUAUGAAAAGGGAUCACUGUCUAAGGCCAAGUAGGUUCACCAGUGUCUGAGCACAAAUUUUCACCAGCAUUCGAGGCCAAAUUUCUCCAGCUUUCAGUCCAAACUUCACCAGCAACCAUGUAAGUGAUUUCACCAAUAUCCGUGUCAGGAGCCACUAUAGGACAGGCUGAUAACUAGCUGAUGAUCUUCCUGAGAUGGUUUGCUUAGGGUUACAAUAUAACUGGUGACAGAUUCACUCUUCAAGCAAGGCCAUAAGACAAUUCAUUUUAGGAAAGAUUCCUGCUGUUAAUAUACUUUUCCAGUUAUGAUUAAACAUGUAUAACAUCACUGGGUAUUAUCCCACCCCUUUAGAGCAGCUCUCUGCAGAUCUACGAAGAUUUACUGUCUUAUAGUGAUGCUAUAUAGACAAAUACAUGACUUCUUCAGUCGUAAUGAUGAUCCUAUAAGAAAUCCAAAAUUUAUAAGAAAUACUCAAGUUAAUAAAAAAAAAAGAAAUCCAAAAUUUAUAUCAGUGAGUAUUAAGCUCUUUUAUACUGGGACUGCUACUGAUCCUUUUCUGAUAGUCAAAACUACAAUGAGAACUCUGACAGUCUCCCACAUGUAACCAGACUUUCUCCUACUUAGAACACAUUGCCAGAGGUACAACAAUUAACCAAAUGUCAUAAAAGAGGAACUAUUGAUUUAUUAUAGGUUCUAGGACAGAAGAAAACAUAUUGAUGGGGUUUAUCUAUACAAAACUUCACUAAAAACUUAAUUGUUGUUUUGAACUUACAACGAACCUGUGGAGCUGUUCUCACCUGUGGUGAGAGAUGUUUAGCCAGAUACUUACUCCUAAUGGGUAUGCAUGUAAACAUUCUCUUUUGUAAACUUCUAUCUCCAUUUAUGAUUUGAUUUUUUCUGUGAACUUGUGAUGAACUUUUUAACAUGUGAUCAUAAAUACUGAAAGAUGUAUAAGUACUGAGGACAAAGAGAGAAGAAUUUUUCCCCUUCCUCCCUAAGGAUCUUUCCACUUUAAGCCUUGGAUAACUUUCAUAGGAAACGUUUUACAACUUACCAAUAAACACUAUAAUCAUUUUCAAA